rnacentral:rRNA from 1 species
UACGGAGGGAGCUAGCGUUAUUCGGAAUUACUGGGCGUAAAGCGCACGUAGGCGGAUUGUUAAGUCGGGGGUGAAAUCCUGGAGCUCAACUCCAGAACUGCCUUCGAUACUGGCGAUCUCGAGUCCGGGAGAGGUGAGUGGAAUUGCGAGUGUAGAGGUGAAAUUCGUAGAUAUUCGCAGGAACACCAGUGGCGAAGGCGGCUUACUGGUCCAUAACUGACGCUGAGGUGCGAAAGCGUGGGGAGCAAACAGGG